rnacentral:lncRNA from 1 species
GUAUGCUUCCGCUAUAAAUUCUUCAGACCGUACUUUAUUAUGUAUAUAUUUUUUUAGAGUACAUAAAAAUCUGUAAAUAAAACUAAAUUUAAAUUUUAGAAAUAUAUUUACAUCUUAUAACUGAUAUGAUAAAAUGUAUAUAAUUUUUUUAUCUUUCAAUAGGAUACAUCCGCCGAUAAUAUAUCGGUCCGAUCAAAAGAGCUUUCUUUGGAAGAUGAAUAGUCAAGUACACCAUAACAUCAAAAAAUAAUAGUAAUUUUUUUUUUAAUUUACAAAGAAUGAACACGAUAUCCUUCUCAAACUUCUCAAGUAAGUUAAUAUUUAAUUUUUGACAAUACAG